UACAGAGGUGGCAAGCGUUGUUCGGAAUUACUGGGCGUAAAGGGCGCGUAGGCGGUCUUUUAAGUCUUGUGUGAAAUCCCUCGGCUUAACUGAGGAACUGCACGGGAUACUGGAUGACUUGAGUUCGGGAGAGGGAAGCGGAAUUCCGGGUGUAGCGGUGAAAUGCGUAGAUAUCCGGAGGAACACCGGUGGCGAAGGCGGCUUCCUGGACCGACACUGACGCUGAGGCGCGAUAGCGUGGGGAGCAAACAGG
rnacentral:rRNA from 1 species